GGAUCUGGGAGUGAAGCGCCGCGCCGGGCGCGGGUCGCACAGGUGCUGCAGCGAGAGGCUUGCCGGCUUUCAGUGGUUUGAAAAAAUGGAUAAUGUAGCUGCCCCAGAUCCUACUUGCACUCUUUUUUACUGGAAAAAUGUAUGGGAGAUCUGAGGAGGAGGUAAAGCGGGGAGUUCUAACUGGAUAGAAAGUCGUUGGGGAGACCUGUACUUUCUGAAGGCAGCAAGAAAAAUGCCCACAUGUUUUUGCCUUGAUAUCCUCGGACAACUACUAAGAAUGAAGGAAAGGAAGCUUGAAGAGACUAACCUGGGUUGUGAAUAUGGACUUGAGUCUCAGCCCUU